CCAAGGAGUCUAAUUAGGCAUCAAGUCGAUCGGUCUUGAUAGGCCAGACGGGUGGAUUCGUCCACCGAUUGAGGCGUAGAGAAAUCAAAUCAUGUGAUCAUGGGGGCAAUACCAGCCCUUAUGCGCAACAUGUGCCUGUUCGUAUAGUAAUGUUAGCAAUAACUUACUGGGCGGAGCAAAGAGAUGCCUGAUUGGUACCCGAAAGAUGGUGAACUAUGCUUGGGCAAAUUGAAGCCAGAGGAAACUCUGGUGGAGGAUUGUAGCGAUUCUGACGUGCAAAUCGAUCGUCAGACCUGAGUAUAGGGGCGAAAGACUAAUCGAACCAUC
rnacentral:rRNA from 1 species